CGUUAGCUCUACGUAGUGACCUGCGGAGGGAUCAUUA
rnacentral:rRNA from 1 species